UGAGGAAUAUUGGUCAAUGGGCGAGAGCCUGAACCAGCCAAGUCGCGUGAGGGAAGACGGUCCUACGGAUUGUAAACCUCUUUUGUCGGGGAGUAAUAGGCGGGACGUGUCCUGCUGUGAGAGUACCCGAAGAAAAAGCAUCGGCUAACUCCGUGCCAGCAGCCGCGGUAAUACGGAGGAUGCGAGCGUUAUCCGGAUUUAUUGGGUUUAAAGGGUGCGCAGGCGGCGUGCCAAGUCAGCGGUCAAAGUUCCGGGCUCAACCCGGUGAUGCCGUUGAAACUGGUGUGCUUGAGUGCGUGCGAGGGAGGCGGAAUGCGUUGUGUAGCGGUGAAAUGCAUAGAUAUGACGCAGAACUCCGAUUGCGAAGGCAGCUUUCCAGCACGCCACUGACGCUGAGGCACGAAAGCGUGGGGAUCGAACAGG
rnacentral:rRNA from 2 species